GAUCGAGUUGUAAUUUGAAGAAGCGUUUUCUGCGUAUUUGGUCAGCCUAAGUCCUAUUGAAUGAGGCAUCAUGGAGGGUGAUAAUCCCGUCCGGUUGAUCAUUUGCGUUUUACGAUACGCUUUCUAAGAGUCAAGUUGUUUGGGAUUGCAGCUUAAAAUGGGAGGUAAAUUUCUCUUAAGGCUAAAUGGGCGGCGAGAGACCGAUAGCGAACAAGUACC
rnacentral:rRNA from 1 species